UGAGUGCAGGCACAAGCCGGGUGAUAUUGGGAAAUUCACAAUCUCUCUGGACCUCAGCUUCCUCGCCUGUAAAAUAAUGCUUCUGACUAGAUGGUCGCUAAGAUUCCUUUAAAGCCAUAAUCUGAUUAUUUGAAUGAAAAUAAUCAGUACACAGGCACCUGUAGAUGUAGAGUGGAAAUGGGAAAAAUAAAGAAAAUAUUCCUUUGAAGACCCCCGGAGACCCAGUCCUGGUGCCCUCCUCUGGGCCAAUCAACCAUGCCAUUGAAAUAGCAUCAAGAGAAGAUCACAGCUUGCACCUGUGACCACGCAGGAGUGUUGGACGGGGUUGGGUGAAUGGUACAUGGUAUGUGGUCAGAAGAAAAUAAUGCAUCAAAACAAGAAAAUAAUGCAUCAAAACAACUAUGAAGUUUUGGAAAGCAGAAUUCAUAUUUUAAACAUAAAUUGACUAGAACUAUACAAAAUAACAAUAUGGGAGAAGAACAAAGAUACAAAUAGCAAAGCAUUUUCAUGAUUGCUUUAUUUUUUGCUUUUCUAGAUUUUACAAAAUUUUGUCGCUAUUUUCAUCAUGA
rnacentral:lncRNA from 1 species